rnacentral:rRNA from 1 species
GAUCCUGGCUCAGGAUGAACGCUAGCUACAGGCUUAACACAUGCAAGUCGAGGGGCAUCAGUUUGGUUUGCUUGCAAACCAAAGCUGGCGACCGGCGCACGGGUGAGUAACACGUAUCCAACCUGCCUCAUACUCGGGGAUAGCCUUUCGAAAGAAAGAUUAAUAUCCGAUAGCAUAUAUUUCCCGCAUGGGUUUUAUAUUAAAGAAUUUCGGUCAUCGAUGGGGAUGCGUUCCAUUAGGUUG